CCCUUCCCAUCUGGAUCUCAAGCCUGGAUGCUGCAUCUUGUGUUUUCUUUCAGGUGAUGAGGAUCUAUCUGUGGUUCCCCCAUUCCCUGUCGGGGACAAGCAGAAUCAAGCACCAGGACUACUAGGAUGUCGGCAGUGUCCUUUGCUAGAGAAAGAAGCACACAGGCUGAGGAAGCAGCUAGCCGACAUGUGGGCCCUCAACAAAAGGUUCCAGGCCCUUUGAAGUAAGGGUACUGCUAUCUGCAGCCCUUCCCAUACUCCUGACCGCCCAGGAAGCCAGGUCUCGCCUGCCAGGCUGGAUUCAGCAUCUUACUACCUAUGGAUCCCCGGGGAUGUGGCCUUGCUUCUUCCUUCUACUUAUUCUACAGCCGGAGCCACCUUUGCUGCCCUGAUUUUGCCCCCUGUCUCCACAUUGUGACAGCUCCAGCAUAUUAAAGUCGU